GAGAGAGAGGGAGAGAAAGAAAGGGGGAAGGAAAAACCCCCUUGGGCACGUUCCCCAGUGCCUCUCCCUUUACUGGACCAAAGCUGCAGGACUCUCUCCUUUCUGGGACAAAGCUGUGGCAUUUCCUGACAGCUUAGUAGAAACCUUAUUCUGCUCUGGCUGCUCAAAGACCCUCGGCAGCAUCUACAGGUGCACCUCAAGGAGCCUGGACUACAAGAGAGAUUUGUUCUGUUUCACUAUUGACUCCAUUGAAAGACUGUGCUGCUGAAAGGCUGAGGUGGCACCAGGAUCGGUGACAUCCCUGACUCCCUGCGCCUUCCUGAGGCUGAAGCCACGUUUGCUGCCAGUGACCACAGAGUGGAAGAUGCUACAGACUGAAAACUUGGGCAUUUUUCUCCUGAAUCCCAAGACUCUCUGCAGCUGUACACUGUCUAUCUCUUAAAAGAGUUUCUGGCUUUUUAAAGGUUUUUACAUUCUGCAAUAUUUAUCUGUAACUCCAUUAAAAAGAGUCAUACUGUAUCAAUGUGG